UACGUAGGCAGCAAGCGUUGUUCGGAAUUACUGGGCGUAAAGCGUGCGUAGGUGGUCUGUUAAGUCUGAUGUGAAAGCCCUGGGCUCAACCUGGGAAUUGCAUUGGAUACUGGCAGGCUAGAGUGCGGUAGAGGAUGGCGGAAUUCCCGGUGUAGCAGUGAAAUGCGUAGAUAGUCGGGAGGAAUACCUAUGGCGAAAGCAGGCUACUGGACCGUCACUGACUCUGAUCUGACGAAAGCUAGGGGAGCAAACGGG
rnacentral:rRNA from 1 species